AGAGCGAACGCUGGCGGCAGGCCUAAUACAUGCAAGUCGAACGGAUCCUUCGGGAUUAGUGGCGGACGGGUGAGUAACACGUGGGAACGUACCCUUUGGUUCGGAACAACUCAGGGAAACUUGAGCUAAUACCGAAUGUGCCCUUCGGGGAAAAGAUUUAUCGCCAUUGGAGCGGCCCGCGUCUGAUUAGCUAGUUGGUAGGGUAAAGGCCUACCAAGGCUACGAUCAGUAGCUGGUCUGAGAGGAUGAUCAGCCACACUGGGACUGAGACACGGCCCAGACUCCUACGGGAGGCAGCAGUAGGGAAUCUUGCGCAAUGGGCGAAAGCCUGACGCAGCCAUGCCGCGUGAAUGAUGAAGGUCUUAGGAUUGUAAAAUUCUUUCAGCGGGGACGAUAAUGACGGUACCGCAGAAGAAGCCCCGGCUAACUCGUGCCAGCAGCCGC
rnacentral:rRNA from 1 species